AAGUAGCUCUGAUAGAAAUGAAGAUCCCUUUUGCACGCCCGUUGGAUUGUUUACUUUGGAUUUUAACCAAAAGGAUUGGAAUGGACAGCAGGAUUGAAC
rnacentral:sRNA from 1 species